CGCCUGUUUUAUCAAAAACAUCGCCUCUUGAAAAUUAUAAGAGGUCCAGCCUGCCCAGUGACCUAGUUCAACGGCCGCGGUAUCCUAACCGUGCGAAGGUAGCGUAAUCACUUGUUCUUUAAAUAAGGACUAGUAUGAAUGGCACCACGAGGGUUUAACUGUCUCCUUUUUUUAAUCAGUGAAACUAAUCUCCCCGUGAAGAAGCUGGGAUUUUUCUAUAAGACGAGAAGACCCUAUGGAGCUUUAAACUAUUUUACACUUGCUGCUCACUAACUGAUUUUCAGAAAUUAACCUUAAAGCAUAGCAUUUUGAUUAAUAGUUUUUGAUUGGGGUGAUCGCGGAGUAAAAAUUAACCUCCACGACGAAAGGAUAACUCCUGAGCCAUAAGCUACAACUUUAAGCACUAAUAUUAUUAACGUCUAUUGACCCAAUAAUUUUGAUCAACGAACCAAGUUACCCUAGGGAUAACAGCGCAAUCCACUUCAAGAGCUCCUAUCGACAAGUGGGUUUACGACCUCGAUGUUGGAUCAGGGUGUCCUAGUGGUGCAGCCGCUACUAACGGUUCGUUUGUUCAACGAUUAAAACCCUACGUGAUCUGAGUUCAGA
rnacentral:rRNA from 2 species